UGUUCCAUUUAACCUCAAUCAUUUUGGUUUUGUGGACAAAACGAGAACAAUUUGAGGUUAAACAUAGAUUAUGUUUAACGUUCUAAAAUACACUUCACCACACACAAUUUUUUGAGUGAACAUAUUAAAGUGAAAAAUAUGAAUGUUAAAUAAUUGUUAAUCACAAGGUCUGACUGGAAUGACCGGGAAGGUGCAGGUUACCCCUUUUGGCAUCUAAAAGAAAUCACUAGGACUGCAUGAUAAUGAGCUAGGGUAAAUUAUUAAUGAUAAUAAUCACCAUUCCUGAUUAUCCAGAUCAUGGGAAAUCACCACAUUUAUCACUUUUUACCAUAGUGCGCAAUAAAAUUGUACAUUUUCCACAUUUUUUAUUGAAACAUGGACACACAUUCAUUUUGCAACAAUAUAGAAGAGGAUCUACAAAUACCAAUAGUAAUAUAAUUAUUGACAUAUAAAUUCUUAAAUUAAAAAAUAGUUUAGGAUUAGCAUUUCCAUAGAGUCAAGUGUGUGUGUGUGUGUGUGUGUGUGUUGUGUAGUUGGUGCAUGCUGCUUCAGCGUGGGAUCGAGAGACUGUUCUUUCCAAAUCAAAGGAGCUGAAGUUCCUGACAAGUUUUGAGACAAAGGCAUUUGAGGACGCCCUCGUUGAGGCAGUGAUGAUCCUCGGUGAAGCCUUUGCUUCCUCAGAGCCUUUUGACUUCGGCACCCAGAGCACCACCCAACGCAUCCAGAGCCUCGUCGUCAUGCUCCGCCACAGGCUCACCCCUCCUCCUGAGGAGACUUACUCCCUCCACCGCAAGAUGGCCGGCUCUUUCCUCAUCUGCUCUAAGCUGAAGGCCUCAUACCAUGCAAGGACAUGUUCCUGGACAUGCACAAUGCCUACAAUCACAGGAAGCUGGCAGCACAGGCCAGAGCAUAAACCCUCAGGAACAAGGUUACUACCUCAAUAAGCUGAGGGGCCUUCUGUGAAGAGGAACCCAAGGAUCGAUUCAUGAAUCCACAGACAUUUAUGUCAAUAUGCAACUGACUGUAUGACAGAAUGCUCUAAUGAAUGUGACUGGUUUUGAUAUGAAAUGGAAAACCAUUAUUAAAAACUAAAUCAUUGUUCUAAACCAGGAGUGCCCAACCAGUCGAUCGCGGUAUACUGGUAGAUCGCGGACUGAUCCCAAGUCGACCGCGAUGGGUGUUGGAAUAAAUAAAAAAAUGUUGUUUUUUA